CAUAUAAAGAUCGAAUCUUUCAACAAGUACAAGGGAGAUUCGGGUGUUUUAAGACUUGUUAUUGAUGUUACUAUCCACAAACACAUCAUUUGCUUUAUAAUUCUUUUUUUAGUUGUUGAAUGAUAUAGGGGUCCUAUUAUGUUUGUGAGUCUAAUUCCCUCAAAUUAGGUGUGUGUGUGUGUGUGUUUUAAUUUAACAAUUCGAGUGCAUUGCAUUGAAUUUACAAAUUGAGGUUUGUGUGGAUCCUAAUAGAGGUUAAUAAAAGAUCCUCUAGUUCUCGAGCUAACAACAAAGCCUAUUUAAUAUAAAGAUUCAAUGUUUAUGCCAUAUUUCA